ACUGUGAAUGCACAGCGUUCUAGAACACAACUACUAACUAGCUCGGCCCCGUACUACUGAUUUGUGCUAUGGAACCAGCAGAGCAAAAUCAACACAGAAAAAAGCAAGAAAACUCAGAGAAAAAAUAAAUCUACAAUGAACACAUCAGUAUGUAUAUUUCUACAAAGUUGUGUGAGAAGUUCUGUAAGAUCAAGUCCUAAAAGCAGAAUUGCUGGCUCAAAGGUAUUUCUCUUGGAAGUAUUAAGAUUUCAAAAAAUGGGCAGAAUGAAUCACAGACAGAUGCUUUCAGAAACUUGGAUGAAGACAUAUAUAAUGUAAGAUGGACUUCACUUACAUGUAGAGUAAAAUGGACUUACAUGUAAAAGCAUUUAGAAUAUGAGUAACAUCAGCUGACUUGAAGUUAAGAAGACUGGCCUCCAUAAUCAGGGUGGGCCUCAUCCAAUCAGUAAAAGGCCGUAAGUGCAAAACUAAGGCUUCCCUGAAGAAGAAACGUCCACCUGACAGACAGCCCCCCUGUGGAUAUCAGACUUGCCUGGCCAGCCCCAGCAAUUAUGUAAGCCAGUUCCUUGCAAAAAAAAAUCUCUUUAUAUGUAUAUAAACCCGUUGAAAAUUU